AACAAUUAUUAGGAAUUUAGGUGUUUCAUUCCUCCCCGCAGUUGGUCAGAUUUACAGUUUUAACUCGACUUCUUCUCCCUUCAAUUUUCAAGCGUUACACAGUGAAAGCUCCCAUCACCAGCAACAUAGUUUCUGCUAAUCGAUUUCCCAUUAUACGUUACGAAUAAAAAAGAUCCCCAUUAACGGCUCCAUUAAGUCUGCUAAUCAAUCCCUGAAGCUCCCACUACAUAAACCUCAAAGGAGGGAAGAGUUUAUCUUCCAAAGAUUUUUGUUGGUAGAGGACAUUUCUUAAAAACCAGCAUCCAUCUCAGGUUGGUUCAGCUUUUAGGGGGUGACUAGAAAGUGUCAUUACAGCCGGAAAGCAUGGAACAAACACAAUGGUUUCUCUGAAGAGGAUCAAGAAGAAGGAUUCCAUUCCACAGCCACCGACUCACUGUAAAUCGUUGAUUGGUCUGAUGGGUUGCAGUUUACUCUGUGUUAUCUUUUAGGCUUCAUCCAGGUUGGUUGUCCUUUAUUUUUCGUAAUUGACUAUGAAAAAGAAAAAAAUAACACUUCUGUUUUUGUUGCUUAAUUUCUUGAGGUUUUUUACCUGAAAUACAAACUGGGUGAUUGCUUAUAUACCAAUUUGUUUCGUCUUGCUUGACAUGGGUGAUCUUUGUAGCCACUGGCAUCUGAGACCCCUGAUAUGCUUAAAAUUUAUAAUUAAUCCAUAGCUCAUCAUAUUGCCUGUACUCUGAAAAACAUAAAUUUUCAGAGUCUUAAAUAGUUCAGAACUAUUAAUGUUGCGUCUCUAAUUAUGCCUGUAAGCCGAAGUACCUCACCAUUAGGCAUUCAGAGUGGAGGGAACUGAAAGACCAUCAACAAGCGUCUCAUGUCAAAGGGACCCAAUGUACUAUGCAUUGGGGCAAUCAAUGAGUAUCUAGGAGUCGAGUUGAGGACUCCUGCCUUCUCAUGUCAAAGGGACCCAAUGUACCAUGCAUUGGGGCAAUCAAUGAGUAUCUAGGAGUUGAGGACUCCUGCCUUCACGGUCCAAGGAGUAUUGGUGGUCGUUCAAAAUGUUGAGUAGAUAAUGUUUAAGACUCACAAACUACUUGCAUUGUGUCGAUUAUGUUUGCGGAGUAAAAAACAUCAUGAAACGGCAGGCAACUAACUUUUGGGUUCCUACAUGGAUUUGAUUAUUCAUAGAAGAUCAACUUUAGCCAAGUGGGUCUCUUUGGUAGGCAUGGGAAUCUUCUUUGUUUUGGCCUAUUUGGAUCCAGAUGUUCCAACAUUUUCUUGUUUCAACUUGGCUCUGUUUAUUGGUGUGACUAUUUGCAAAACAUCUAAAGCAGGGAAACCGCUGAAAAAUGAUAAGUAGUGAGAAAAUAGUUCAGAGUGUUAAUUAACAAUGCCAUGUCGAAGGAAAAAGUUAUCUGGCUAAUCAAGUAACUGGAAUUGCCUCAUUAUAGCAGACAACCACGUAACACUGAAUAUUGUUACUUUGAUGUUACUUCAAAUGUCUUUGGAUUUUUUUGGCUA